rnacentral:rRNA from 1 species
GCAGAACGCGAAGAACCUUACCCACCUUUGACAUGUACGGAAGUUGCCAGAGAUGGCUUCGUGCUCGAAAGAGAGCCGUAACACAGGUGCUGCAUGGCUGUCGUCAGCUCGUGUCGUGAGAUGUUGGGUUAAGUCCCGCAACGAGCGCAACCCUUGUCAUUAGUUGCUACGAAAGGGCACUCUAAUGAGACUGCCGGUGACAAACCGGAGGAAGGUGGGGAUGACGUCAAGUCCUCAUGGCCCUUAUAGGUGGGGCUACACACGUCAUACAAUGGCCGGUACAAAGGGCAGCCAACCCGCGAGGGGGAGGCUAAUCCCAUAAAGCCGGUCGUAGUCCGGAUCGCAGUCUGCAACUCGACUGCGUGAAGUCGGAAUCGCUAGUAAUCGUGGAUCAGCAUGUCACGGUGAAUACGUUCCCGGGUCUUGUACACACCG